UCCCUCCCUCUCUGGGUGAGGCUGAAAGCAGGAGAAGGCCAGGGAGCAGGAAUCCUGUGAUGUCAUACAGACCCGCAGGUGGAGCAUACAGAGGGCGGGGCCAGAAGGCAGAGGGAGGAGGUCAGCACAGUUUACAAUGUGAAGGAAAGAAACCAAGGUCGGGGCGUGUGGGUGUGUGUGUGUGGGAGACACAAAGCCUGGGUUUCUCUGGCCUUGGACAAGACCUCAGUAGCAAGAAGACCAGGAGGUGUUGAAAAUCAGCAGCUGCUGCAGCAGAUGAUGUAAUCCUUGUAGAGGAAGAUGGCAAGUGCCAGUUUGUGGUUGAAACCCAUAUAAGUCAUACGAAUAUGUAUCAAUUUGAAGGCACUGGGUUUUCAAAUAUUUCUUAACUUAUAGACCACGACUAUACAGUAAAACAUGACAUCACCAAGAAAUUAGGUGUAGUUCUGUUGAAUCCUGUUCCUAAGUUUCAGGUGUACAGCACAAUAAUUCUGUUGAAGCUGAUCGGUUUUAUGAAGACCAACACCCUCGAGAACUAACACCAAAAAAGGAUGUCCUUUUUACCAUAGGGGAUUGGAAUGCAAACGUAGGAAGUCAAGAGAUACCCAGAAUAAAAGGCAAGUUUGGCCCUGGAGUACAAAAAGAAACAGG